rnacentral:rRNA from 1 species
GCCUACGGCCAUACCACCCUGAAAGCGCCCGAUCUCGUCUGAUCUCGAAAGCUAAGCAGAGACGGGCUUGGUUAGUACCUGGAUGGGAGACCGCCUGGGAAUACCAGGUGUUGUAGGCU